rnacentral:rRNA from 1 species
CCCCGCCAUAGCAAACUCCGAAUACCGAAGAGUGCAAUCACGGGAGACAGACAUCGGGUGCUAACGUCCGGUGUCAAGAGGGAAACAACCCAGACCGCCAGCUAAGGUCCCCAAAUAUGGCUAAGUGGGAAACGAAGUGGGAAGGCUAAAACAGUCAGGAGGUUGGCUUAGAAGCAGCCACCCUUUAAAGAAAGCGUAAUAGCUCACUGAUCGAGUCGUCCUGCGCGGAAGAUGUAACGGGGCUAAGCCAUAUACCGAAGCUGCGGAUGCGAGCUAGUCUCGCAUGGUAGGAGAGCGUUCCGUAAGCCUGCGAAGGUGCGUUGAAAAGCGUGCUGGAGGUAUCGGAAGUGCGAAUGCUGACAUGAGUAGCGAUAAAGGGGGUGAAAGGCCCCCUCGCCGUAAGCCCAAGGUUUCCUACGCAACGUUCAUCGGCGUAGGGUGAGUCG